rnacentral:rRNA from 1 species
AACGCUGGCGGCGUGGAUAAGACAUGCAAGUCGAACGAGACUUUCUUUGGUAGCAAUACCGAGGAAAGUUUAGUGGCGAACGGGUGCGUAACACGUGGGCAAUCUGCCGAGAAGUGGGGGAUAGCUCGCCGAAAGGCGAAUUAAUACCGCAUGUGAUUAGAGGCGACAUCGCUUCGAAAUCAAAGUCGGGGCAACCUGACGCUUUUUGAGGAGCCCGCGGCCUAUCAGCUUGUUGGUGAGGUGACGGCUCACCAAGGCGAUGACGGGUAGCUGGUCUGAGAGGACGACCAGCCACACUGGGACUGAGACACGGCCCAGACACCUACGGGUGGCAGCAGUCGAGAAUUUUUCUCAAUGGGGGAAACCCUGAACGAGCGACGCCGCGUGGAGGAUGAAAGUCUUCGGGUUGUAAACUCCUGUCAUUUGAGAACAAUGGUUGCGCGUUAACUGCGCUCGACUUGAUAGUACCAGAAGAGGAAUAGACGGCUAACUCUGUGCCAGCAGCCGCGGUAAUACAGAUGUCUCAAGCGUUGUUCGGAUUCAUUGUGCGUAAAGGGUGCGUAUGCGGCGCGGUAAGUCCGGUGUGAUAUUUCCGAGCUUAACUCCUAAACUGCAUUCGAUACUGCCGUGCUUG